rnacentral:lncRNA from 1 species
GACAAAACCACAAUCAAAGAGUACACAUGGAGGGACCCAUGGCUCCAUCUGCAUAUGCAGCAGAAAGUUGUCUUAUCUAGCUUCAAUGGGAGGGGAGACUCUUGGUCUUAUGAAGGCUUGUUGCCCUAGCAUAGGGGAAUGCUAGAGGGGUGAGGUGGGAGUGGGUGGGUAGGUUGGGGAACACACUCAUAGAGGCAGGGGGUGGGAUGAGGUAGUUUGCAGAGGGAAGACUGGGGACUAGGGACAACAUUUGAAAUGUAAAUAAAUAAAGUAACCAAUUAAUUAAAAGGCGGGGGCUAUUAGACAUUCUUAUAUCAUCUAAAGGCCACCUGGAGCUCUGGGUUAUGUAAAUCCAAAGAGCAGGUGCUCUAGUCAAGAAAACAGGAACUCUUUGUUCAGGGAACAGCUUCAAAAGAAUGGUGAUUUAUAGAGGUAGAGGAUAUAUGUUAAUAGAGGACACUUGGCAUCUUCCUCUGGCUACUACACAUGCCCCGGGCACAUGCAGCAGCACGUACCCACUCACAGACAUAUUCACAUACAUGUAAAGAAGUAACUAAGUAGAUCCUUUAAAACUAAAACAAAGAGUUGAGUUACAGUUGAGUCUGUCAACUCAUUUACUGAAAGUCUUCUAAGAAAAGCACCAUUCUCAUAUAGAUAAUAAAGCCUCAUUUCUCUACCCCAGGUGGUCUCCAUUCUUUUUUUUUUUUUUUUUUUUUUAGCUCCUGGAUUCUAUGAUGUUCUUUUAGAAGUAUGUAGCUGCCUCUUGUGGAAGAUAGACAUGCAUGUUCUGACAGCUCAAAGAAAAAAUUAUUUAUGGA